AUUGAACGCUGGCGGCAGGCCUAACACAUGCAAGUCGAGCGGACGAAGGGAGCUUGCUCCUGGAUUCAGCGGCGAACGGGUGAGUAAUGCCUAGGAAUCUGCCUGGUAGUGGGGGAUAACGUCCGGAAACGGGCGCUAAUACCGCAUACGUCCUGAGGGAGAAAGUGGGGGAUCUUCGGACCUCACGCUAUCAGAUGAGCCUAGGUCGGAUUAGCUAGUUGGUGGGGUAAAGGCCUACCAAGGCGACGAUCCGUAACUGGUCUGAGAGGAUGAUCAGUCACACUGGAACUGAGACACGGUCCAGACUCCUACGGGAGGCAGCAGUGGGGAAUAUUGGACAAUGGGCGAAAGCCUGAUCCAGCCAUGCCGCGUGUGUGAAGAAGGUCUUCGGAUUGUAAAGCACUUUAAGUUGGGAGGAAGGGCAGUAAGUUAAUACCUUGCUGUUUUGACGUUACCAACAGAAUAAGCACCGGCUAACUUCGUG
rnacentral:rRNA from 1 species